rnacentral:rRNA from 1 species
UUGCUGGUGGAUUAGUGGCGAACGGGUGAGUAACACGUGGGUGAUCUGCCCCAAACUUUGGGAUAAGCCUGGGAAACUGGGUCUAAUACCGAAUAUUACCUUCUCCUGCAUGGGGGUUGGUGGAAAGCUCCGGCGGUUUGGGAUGGGCCCGCGGCCUAUCAGCUUGUUGGUGGGGUAAUGGCCUACCAAGGCGACGACGGGUAGCCGGCCUGAGAGGGCGACCGGCCACACUGGGACUGAGACACGGCCCAGACUCCUACGGGAGGCAGCAGUGGGGAAUAUUGCACAAUGGGCGCAAGCCUGAUGCAGCGACGCCGCGUGAGGGAUGACGGCCUUCGGGUUGUAAACCUCUUUCACCAGGGACGAAGCGAAAGUGACGGUACCUGGAGAAGAAGCACCGGCCAACUACGUGCCAGCAGCCGCGGUAAUACGUAGGGUGCGAGCGUUGUCCGGAAUUACUGGGCGUAAAGAGCUCGUAGGCGGUUUGUCGCGUCGUUCGUGAAAACUUGGGGCUUAACUCCAAGCGUGCGGGCGAUACGGGCAGACUUGAGUACUACAGGGGAGACUGGAAUUCCUGGUGUAGCGGUGAAAUGCGCAGAUAUCAGGAGGAACACCGGUGGCGAAGGCGGGUCUCUGGGUAGUAACUGACGCUGAGGAGCGAAAGCGUGGGUAGCGAACAGGAUUAGAUACCCUGGUAGUCCACGCCGUAAACGGUGGGUACUAGGUGUGGGUUCCUUUUCACGGGAUCCGUGCCGUAGC